AUUGAACGCUGGCGGCAUGCUUUACACAUGCAAGUCGAACGGCAGCGCGGGCUUCAGCCUGGCGGCGAGUGGCGAACGGGUGAGUAAUACAUCGGAACGUGCCCAGUAGUGGGGGAAAGCUCGGCGAAAGCCGGAUUAAUACCGCAUACGACCUGAGGGUGAAAGCGGGGGAUCUUCGGACCUCGCGCUAUUGGAGCGGCCGAUGGCAGAUUAGCUAGUUGGUGGGGUAAAGGCCUACCAAGGCGACGAUCUGUAGCUGGUCUGAGAGGACGACCAGCCACACUGGGACUGAGACACGGCCCAGACUCCUACGGGAGGCAGCAGUGGGGAAUUUUGGACAAUGGGCGAAAGCCUGAUCCAGCAAUGCCGCGUGUGUGAUGAAGGCCUUCGGGUUGUAAAGCACUUUUGGCGGGAACGAAAAGGACUGUGCCAAUACCACGGUUCGAUGACGGUACCCGAAGAAUAAGCACCGGCUAACUACGUG
rnacentral:rRNA from 1 species